UACGGAAGGCAGCAGUGGGGAAUAUUGCACAAUGGGCGAAAGCCUGAUGCAGCUAUGCCGCGUGUAUGAAGAAGGCCUUAGGGUUGUAAAGUACUUUCAUCGGGGAGGAAAAACAAAACUAAUAAUUUUAUUUCUUGACGUUACCCGAAAAAGAAGCACCGACUAACUCCGUGCCAGCAGCCGCGGUAAUACGGAGGGUGCUAGCGUUAAUCAGAAUUACUGGGCGUAAAGAGCACGUAGGUGGUUUUUUUAAGUCAGAUGUGAAAUCCCUGGGCUUAACCUAGGAACUGCAUUUUGAAACUGAAAUACUAGAGUAUCGUAGAGGGAGGUAGAAUUCUAGGUGUAGCGGUGAAAUGCGUAGAUAUCUGGAGGAAUACCUGUGGCGAAAGCGGCCUCCUAAACGAAUACUGACACUGAGGUGCGAAAGCGUGGGGAGCAAACAGGGAUUAGAUACC
rnacentral:rRNA from 1 species